rnacentral:rRNA from 1 species
AGUGAACGCUGGCGGUAGGCCUAACACAUGCAAGUCGAACGGCAGCACAGUAAGAGCUUGCUCUUACGGGUGGCGAGUGGCGGACGGGUGAGGAAUACAUCGGAAUCUACUUUUUCGUGGGGGAUAACGUAGGGAAACUUACGCUAAUACCGCAUACGACCUACGGGUGAAAGCAGGGGAUCUUCGGACCUUGCGCGAUUGAAUGAGCCGAUGUCGGAUUAGCUAGUUGGCGGGGUAAAGGCACACCAAGGCGACGAUCCGUAGCUGGUCUGAGAGGAUGAUCAGCCACACUGGAACUGAGACACGGUCCAGACUCCUACGGGAGGCAGCAGUAGGGAAUAUUGGACAAUGGGCGCAAGCCUGAUCCAGCCAUACCGCGUGGGUGAAGAAGGCCUUCGGGUUGUAAAGCCCUUUUGUUGGGAAAGAAAAGCAGCAGAUUAAUACCCCGCUGUUCUGACGGUACCCAAAGAAUAAGCACCGGCUAACUUCGUG